GCCAGUUGGCUGGAGCGCAACUUCCCCUGAUGCUGCUACACACGGGAAAUGAUCUAGGGAGUGUUUCCCGCAUGCAGUGGCAUCGCGGGAAGUUGCGCUCCAGCCAACUGGC